GGUUAAGCGACUAAGCGUACACGGUGGAUGCCCUGGCAGUCAGAGGCGAUGAAGGACGUGCUAAUCUGCGAUAAGCGUCGGUAAGGUGAUAUGAACCGUUAUAACCGGCGAUUUCCGAAUGGGGAAACCCAGUGUGUUUCGACACACUAUCAUUAACUGAAUCCAUAGGUUAAUGAGGCGAACCGGGGGAACUGAAACAUCUAAGUACCCCGAGGAAAAGAAAUCAACCGAGAUUCCCCCAGUAGCGGCGAGCGAACGGGGAGCAGCCCAGAGCCUGAAUCAGUGUGUGUGUUAGUGGAAGCGUCUGGAAAGGCGCGCGAUACAGGGUGACAGCCCCGUACACAAAAAUGCACAUACUGUGAGCUCGAUGAGUAGGGCGGGACACGUGGUAUCCUGUCUGAAUAUGGGGGGACCAUCCUCCAAGGCUAAAUAC
rnacentral:rRNA from 1 species